AACGCAUAUUGCGCCUUCUGGUAUUCCGGAAGGCAUGCUUGUUUGAGUAUCAGUAACAACCUCAACUCUGGUUCUAUCGCGCGCAAUGCGUGAGAGAAAGAGGAGUUGGAUUUGAGCAUAUCCCACCGGCCAUACUUUGGCAAGGAAAGGGGAUGCUUGAAAUUGAGGUUCGGCCGACAGUGCCUGGGCUACAAGCAUUUCAUACUUAAUCCCGUUAAACGGAUUAUAUCUUUUUGCUGCAGCCAACAUGGAAGGGUAACUGUCCGUGUCCCGACUGAUGCAGGAAAGUUGAGAUUGAAGGGGGGAGGGGGAGAAUCCUUUGUGGGUCCCCUCUCGCUCCUCUCUCUCUCUUCUAAACUCGAUCUCAAAUCAAGUAAGACUACCCGCUGAACUUAA
rnacentral:misc_RNA from 1 species